UUUUAACGGCCGCGGUAUUCUAACCGUGCAAAGGUAGCGUAAUCACUUGUCUUUUAAAUAAAGACCAGUAUGAACGGCUAAAUGAGGACAAGCCUGUCUCCUACACCCAAUCAGUGAAACUGAUCUCCCAGUCCAAAAGCUGGGAUAACCCCACAAGACGAGAAGACCCUGUGGAGCUUAAAACCUUCUACUAACAAACGCACAGUAACUAGUACCUGUUUUAAGUUGGGGCGACUUCGGAACAAAGCAAAACUUCCGAGCACAGAACCACUAAUUCUAAGCCGAGGCCUACAAGCCGAGACAUAAGAUUGACCCAGUCAUACUGACCAACGAACCAAGUUACCCCAGGGAUAACAGCGCUAUCUUCUUCAAGAGUCCCUAUCGACAAGAAGGUUUACGACCUCGAUGUUGGAUCAGGACACCCAAAUGGUGCAGCCGCUAUUAAAGGUUCGUUUGUUCAACGAUUAACAGUCCU
rnacentral:rRNA from 1 species